GACGAACGCUGGCGGCGUGCUUAACACAUGCAAGUCGAACGGUAAGGCCCUUUCGGGGGUACACGAGUGGCGAACGGGUGAGUAACACGUGGGUGAUCUGCCCUGCACUUUGGGAUAAGCCUGGGAAACUGGGUCCAAUACCGAAUAUUCCUUGCUGGUCGCAUGGCCUGGUGGGGGAAAGCUUUUGCGGUGUGGGAUGGGCCCGCGGCCUAUCAGCUUGUUGGUGGGGUGAUGGCCUACCAAGGCGACGACGGGUAGCCGGCCUGAGAGGGUGUCCGGCCACACUGGGACUGAGAUACGGCCCAGACUCCUACGGGAGGCAGCAGUGGGGAAUAUUGCACAAUGGGCGCAAGCCUGAUGCAGCGACGCCGCGUGAGGGAUGACGGCCUUCGGGUUGUAAACCUCUUUCAGUACAGACGAAGCGCAAGUGACGGUAUGUACAGAAGAAGCACCGGCCAACUACGUGC
rnacentral:rRNA from 1 species